rnacentral:rRNA from 1 species
AAAUGAAUUGACGGGGGCCCGCACAAGCGGAGGAACAUGUGGUUUAAUUCGAUGAUACGCGAGGAACCUUACCCGGGCUCGAACGGUGCAUGCAUAUACGAGAGAUUGUAUAUUCCUUUGGGACAUGUAUCGAGGUGCUGCAUGGUUGUCGUCAGCUCGUGCCGUGAGGUGUCGGCUUAAGUGCCAUAACGAGCGCAACCCUUGUCAUUAGUUGCCAUCAGGUAGUGCUGGGGACUUUAAUGAGACUGCCACCGUAAGGUGUGAGGAAGGGGGGGAUGACGUCAAAUCAGCACGGCCCUUAUGUCCGGGGCGACACACGUGUUACAAUGGGAGGUACAGAGGGCAGCCAUCCGGCGACGGAGCGCUAAUCUCCAAAACCUUUCUCAGUUCGGAUUGGAGUCUGCAACUCGACUUCAUGAAGGUGGAUUCGCUAGUAAUCGCGCAUCAGCCACGGCGCGGUGAAUACGUUCCCGGGCCUUGCACACACCGCCCGU